GAUGAACGCUGGCGGCAGGCCUAACACAUGCAAGUCGAGCGAGCGGCGGACGGGUGAGUAAUGUCUGGGAAAGUGCCUGAUGGGGGGGGAUAACUACUGGAAACGGUAGCUAAUACCGCAUCCCAUCAGAUGUGCCCCGAUGGGAUUAGCUAGUAGGUGGGGUAACGGCUCACCUAGGCGACGACCCCUAGCUGGUCUGAGAGGAUGACCAGCCACACUGGAACUGAGACACGGUCCAGACUCCUACGGGAGGCAGCAGUGGGGAAUAUUGCACAAUGGGCGCAAGCCUGAUGCAGCCAUGCCGCGGGUAUGAAGAAGGCCUUCGGGUUGUAAAGUACUUUCAGCGGGGAGGCGUUACCCGCAGAAGAAGCACCGGCUAACUCCGUGCCAGCAGCCGCGGUAAUAC
rnacentral:rRNA from 1 species